GUGAAUCAUCGAAUUUUUGAACGCAAAUUGCACUCUCCGGUUUUCCGGGAGAGUAUGCCUGUUUGAGGGUCUGUUUAAAAAAUAAUCGGGGCUGCUGCUGUGUUGGCCCUUCGGAAUUGGGCCAUCUUCCCCCUUUCGGGGUUGUAAGCGACCUAAAUUUUUUCUUCCUAUUUCUCCGACCGUUUCUACGAAUUUCUUUUCCUUUCGCGCC
rnacentral:misc_RNA from 1 species